rnacentral:rRNA from 1 species
CAGUUGAGAGAAAAAGUACGUGACUAUAAUCAUGAUUCAUGACGGUAUCAACAGAAGAAGCACCGGCUAACUACGUGCCAGCAGCCGCGGUAAUACGUAGGGUGCAAGCGUUAAUCGGAUUACUGGGCGUAAAGGGUGCGCAGGCGGUUCUGUAAGUCAGAUGUGAAAUCCCCGGGCUUAACCUGGGAACUGCGUUUGAAACUGCAGAGCUAGAGUGCAGCAGAGGGAGGUGGAAUUCCAUGUGUAGCAGUGAAAUGCGUAGAGAUAUGGAAGAACAUCGAUGGCGAAGGCAACCUCCUGGGCUAGCACUGACGCUCAUGCACGAAAGCGUGGGGAGCAAACAGGAUUAGAUACCCUGGUAGUCCACGCCCUAAACUAUGUCAACUAGUUGUCGGGUCUUAUUAGACUUGGUAACGUAGCUAACGCGUGAAGUUGACCGCCUGGGGAGUACGGUCGCAAGAUUAAAACUCAAAAGGAAUUGACGGGGGAG